CCAGUCAGGUGCUCCUGGGCUCCGGUCUCACCAUCCUGUCCCAGCCGCUCAUGUACGUGAAAGUGCUCAUCCAGGUGGGAUAUGAGCCUCUUCCUCCAACAAUAGGACGAAAUAUUUUUGGGCGGCAAGUGUGUCAGCUUCCUGGUCUCUUUAGUUAUGCUCAGCACAUUGCCAGUAUCGAUGGGAGGCGCGGGUUGUUCACAGGCUUAACUCCAAGACUGUGUUCGGGAGUCCUUGGAACUGUGGUCCAUGGUAAAGUUUUACAGCAUUACCAGGAGAGUGACAAGGGUGAGGAGUUAGGACCUGGAAAUGUACAGAAAGAAGUCUCAUCUUCCUUUGACCACGUUAUCAAGGAGACAGAACGAGAAUGCAGGGGUCUCUUCCCUCCCCUGGGGUUUAGGAAGCUCAUGAGGAGCUCGGCUUAAAAUGUCUUUGAUGUCUCUUCCUUUGUCUCAAAAAGUAAUGUCAAUUUUAUAUACUAUUUCGAUAUUACUAUCUGCAUUUGUUUUAAUAUAAAAAUGUUUGCUGCCUACCUUUUUCUCCCAAAAAAUCUUUAAGUAAAGAUGAUCUGGGAAAAUGUG
rnacentral:sRNA from 1 species